rnacentral:tRNA from 1 species
GGAGGGGUUCCCGAGUGGUCAAAGGGGGCAGACUGUAAAUCUGCUGGCACAGCCUUCGAAGGUUCGAAUCCUUCCCCCUCCACCA